rnacentral:rRNA from 1 species
UUUUUGAAAGGCAUCAUUUUUAAUUAAGUCCAACGGUAAAAGAUGGGCUGGGUCCCAUUAGCUAGUUGUAAGGAACGGCUUACCAAGGCUACGAUGGGUAGGGUCCUGAGAGGGAGUCCCCCACACUGGUACUGAGACACGGACCAGAUUCCUACGGGAGGCAGCAGUGAGGAAUAUUGGACAAUGGGCGCAAGCCUGAUCCAGCCAUGCCGCGUGCAGGAUGACGGUCCUAUGGAUUGUAAACUGCUUUUAUACGAGAAGAAACACUGCUUCGUGAAGCAGCUUGACGGUAUCGUAAGAAUAAGGAUCGGCUAACUCCGUGCCAGCAGCCGCGGUAAUACGGAGGAUCCAAGCGUUAUCCGGAAUCAUUGGGUUUAAAGGGUCCGUAGGCGGUUUAAUAAGUCAGUGGUGAAAGCCCAUCGCUCAACGGUGGAACGGCCAUUGAUACUGUUAAACUUGAAUUAUUAGGAAGUAACUAGAAUAUGUAGUGUAGCGGUGAAAUGCUUAGAGAUUACAUGGAAUACCAAUUGCGAAGGCAGGUUACUACUAAUGGAUUGACGCUGAUGGACGAAAGCGUGGGUAGCGAACAGGAUUAGAUACCCUGGUAGUCCACGCCGUAAACGAUGGAUACUAGCUGUUGGAAGCAAUUUCAGUGGCUAAGCGAAAGUGAUAAGUAUCCCACCUGGGGAGUACGUUCGCAAGAAUGAAACUCAAAGGAAUUGACGGGGGCCCGCACAAGCGGUGGAGCAUGUGGUUUAAUUCGAUGAUACGCGAGGAACC